UUAAGACAGCACUAUUGUUAUGAACUUUUGGAAGUUAAGGACACCAAGUCACAAAAAAUGCUAGUAAUUUCCCAGGACUAUAUUGUUACUAAAUGCCAAAGGUAAGAUUUAAAAUCAUAUAAUUUAACGUCAUAUUGAUUCUGUAUGUGCUUUACUGCCUAUGUUAAGCAUGAAUAUUUCAAACAGAAUAGGAUGUCUAACUUAGAUUUUAAAAAUUAUACAAUAUACAAAGAUAUCCCGCUCUAGAUUUCCCUUUGCAAUGGUCUGACUCAUUCAACUGGAUUAUUAUCUUCUAAAGAUGACUAUGUAUACAAAUAUGUACUGCAUACUUCUACGGCUAUGGGGUUUGGUCCUUAUAUUUCACAGGCAUGACUAGUUCUUGCCUGUGACAUUUGUGGCUACUUUUCUGAUAACAUCACCCCAGAUUUGUUUGAGAUUGACAUAUUGACAUCACAAAGAGUAUAACAGCAAACAUGUCUUUACUGGCCUCACAUGUACCUUAAGAUAAUUUAACAGGACACUUCUCUGUGAGUCUGAAUCUUGACUGGAACGGUGCAAAAUUAAAAAUCACCCCUGAGUCUUUUUUUUUUUUUUUUUUUUUUUUUUUUUUUUUUUUUGGAUUUUUGAGACAGGGUUUCUGUGUGUAGCCCUGGCUGUCCUGGAACUCACUCUGUAGACCAGGCUGGCCUCAAACUCAGAAAUCCACCUGCCUCUGCCUCCCAAGUACUGGGAUUAAAGGCGUGCACCACCACUGAGUUUUAUGUCUAUCCCCAACUUCACCAAUUUCUUCUGCAUUCUAGCUCACUCUGACCACCACAUCAGUAAUCCUUUGUUUUGUAUUUCUUUGGCUUUUCUUUUUAUUUUUGUUCAGUUAAUCUAGGUCCUCGGAAUCCCUGCCUUUAUUUUAUUCAGCUGGUCUAAGUGCAGUUGUUGUUUCUAAGGAAAAUAUGGUAAUAUUAUACACAUUGCAAUGUUGCAAUGCCUGUCUCGAAAGGAGAUAUUUUUGAUUGUUCACUGGCUUUAAUGAGGCAAUUUAAUAUGUGUAAGUUUUGAAGUAGACAUUUUUAACAGUUGAAGCCAUAUAGAAAUCCAGCUUUCAUGGUCAUGUUGAUUAUAAUCUUAUGAGGGACCCUUUCAGGUUGUUCCUGACUUCUGCUCAACAAAAUAUUAAGUAAUUUAAUGCAUGUUGUCAUAAACUGUCAGUUGAUGCUAACAUUAUAAAUCCCAACUAGGUAUCUAAUAUAGUGGCUGAAUGUUGUAAUGCACUGACCUAUCAGAAGGAAUGUAGCAUAUAAUAAUUUGUGGUCCUGGAGGUAAACUAUACUAGCGUCAAUGUGUGGUGUGAAAUAUUUAAAAAUGUAAACCAUGCUAUCUCCAGUAAGGCACAGGUGGGUCUUGUUCUUAUCUCGUGGAGACUCUCUCACCCAGAGCUCUGAAAUCUUACCACCCAGCUUGCUAGGUUCCCAAUUUCUGUACUCUCCCCUUUUAACUAUAAAAACAAUUUAAGCUUCCAAAUUCCCACUGCCUUUUGGGGUGCAUUUCUUGCAAACCCAUGCUUUGUCACCAUACCUUUUUCUCUGGAACCCAGUCGAGCUGCCACAUGAAGGGAAACACCACACAAACUUAGUUCAGAAUCAAUGGUAACUCAAUCGUUGGGAGCAACAACUAACAUCCUAAUUUAUAAACCAUUUUUAGUUAUAUCCUCUGGUGGCACAUCCAAACGGAUCCACCACCUGAAACGGGGUCUCUGCUUACUACAUAUUCGCCUUAUCUCUGGCCUCCAGCCCCCUCUGCUCUCCUCUGCUCUCCCUCUCCCCUCUCUCCCCUUUCCCCUCUCCCUUCUCUCCCCCUCUCCCUUCCCUCCCCUCUCCCCUCUCCUCCUCUCCCUUCUUGCUCCCCUUCCCUCUCCCUUCCUGCUCCCCUUCCCUCUCCCCUCCUCUCCCCCCUCCCCUCUCCCCUCCCCUCCCUUCCCCUCCCCUCCCCUCCCUUCCCCUCCCCUCCCCUCCCCUCCCCUCCUCUCCUCUCCUCUCCUCUCCCACUCUCCCUCUGUCUGACCCAGAAGUCCUGCCUACUUGCUCAGUGAUUGGUUUCUUUAUUCAUUAGAAGGGUCACAUGGAGUUCUGAAUAGUGAUUCACUACUGUCCCAGGCAGCCCCUCUUGGGGAAGUUGAAUUAGCAUAAAAAUACAAACAGCACCAGGGCUAUUCACAACACUUCCCUUUUUUGUCUAAUUAAAAGACUCUUUUAUCUCAGAUAUAAAUUGAGCAAAAUGAUUACCAUUAUGUAAUUUAUAAAGUACAAGAUAGACCUAACACCCAGUCCAUCAUUUUUGUCAUUAAAUGCAACACUCUGUCAUCUAUUCCAACUUAAAAGACUUAUAAAUCCAUGUUAUGUCCUGGUUUAGUUUGUAUACUAUCAGAAAACUACUUUCUCAAAUAUGUUCUCUCAAUGCUAAAUAGCCUGGGUUGGCUAUGAGACUAUACAUAGUCUUUCAAUCCCGUCAGAAAUCUGAGAAUGGCUAAUAUUAUCUGAAAAUAUAGAAAGCCUAAUAUAGCUUUCAGAACUGAGACAAAUUGCAGAGACAGCUGCCUACCUAUACAGCCCCAGUAUGUCAGGAAGGUGGAGCAUAGUCUUUAGCCUUCUGGCCCAGGAUAUCAAGCAGAUCUAGAAAAACUGGAGUUGUUAAAGACUAGCUUAUUCUGUCUCAGCAGAACUAAGUUGUCCUAAUCUGUAACUUGUGUCCUCUCAAGAACAGUAUAGGUCUAUAGAAGAAAUAGGCACUUUUUACCCAGUGGCCACCCAGCCACAAUGUACCUCACCUGGAGCUCCGCUGCUUCUUUGAAUCCACAAAUGGAGAGCUGUUAGGAGCAGAUUUGUCUCAACAGUGAUUACCUUAAAUGUCAUAUUCUGUGGAUUUCUGACAUUUUUGAACACUAUCUAUGUAAAGUAAUGUGUGCUGCUGUUCAUUAACUACCCUCAGCUAUUUAUAAUUAAAAUAUCUGAAAACACUCUAACAAUAAACUCAAAGGCAUGAAUUUGCUAUCUGGCCCUUAACUCACAGGCUUAACCAUCCCAGAUCUGUUUAUAAUAACAGUUAUAGAAGGACUGGGUCUAAGCUUUGUACUUUAAAUUUUUUUGUAUCAAUAGAAGAAACUUAUACCAAUGAAAACCUUGAUUCUGCAUCAAAUAAAUCCUGUUCUAAAAUAAGAAUUAUGACUUCAACUUAGUAAGUCUUUUAAAGAUUUCUACCAAAUGUGAUUAUGGCUACACAAUCAGUUCUAGCCAUUCCUUCCUGUUCAAAUUAUGACCAUUUCAAAAAAUCACCAGAAACACAACUUGGAAUAAUAACCUCCAGACCCCCAAGUUCAGCGAAUGUGGGUGACUACUCUUCAUAACUACUUUGAGCUGAAUAUGGGUGUUGUUUAAUUGGACAAAAGGGGGGAAGUGUUGUGAAUAGCCCUGGUGCUCUUUGUAUUUUUAUGCUAAUUCAGCUUCCCCAAGAGGGGCUGCCUGGGACAGUAGUGAAUCACUAUUCAGGACUCCAUGUGACCCUUCUAAUGAAUAAAGAAACCAAUCACUGGGCAAGUAGGCAGGACUUCUGGAGGGGGCUGGAGGACAGAAGAUGAGGUGAAUAUGUAGGUAGCAGAGACCCUGUUUCAGGUGGUAGAUCCGUUUGGAUCUGCUACCAAAGGAUUCAACUAAGAAUGGCUUACAAAUUAGGAUGUUAGCUUUUGUGCCCAGCGAUUGAGUUACCAUUGAUUUUGAACUAAGUUUGUGUGGUAUUUUCCUUCAUGCGGCAGCUCUACUGGGUUCCAGAGAGAAAGGUAUGGUGACAAAGCAUAGGUUUGCAAGAAAUGCACCCCAAAAGGCCAUGAGAAUUUGGAAGCUUAAAUUGUUCUUAUAGUUAGAAGGAAAUAAUAUAGAAAUUGGGAACUUAGCAAGUCGGGUGGUGAGAUUUCAGAGCUCUGGGUGAGAGAGUAUCCACGUGAUGAGAACAAGGCCUGCCUGUGCCUUGCCAGGAAUAGCAUGGUUUGCACUUUUUAAUGUUUCAUGCUACAGGUGGUACCCAGCAUGGCAGUCAAGAAUCCACCCGAAAUUUAAGAUUCCUAGCUUAUGAGUUAAAAAUUUAGUUAGAAAUUUGGAGGUUUGGUGAGCAAAGGGGAAUACAGUCACAUGACUCAAGAGCACACAGGACCAAAGAAAGAGGGCUCUAAGGUCCCCUGCUGUAGAAGAGACAAGAUGGCUGCUCUGAGUCAGAGAGCUGGAGAAUAGAAGCUGAAUUAGCAUCAAAAUAUAAACAGCACCAGGGCUCUCCACAACAUUCAUAUAUUCCAAAGGUCCAAGAGGAGGAAAGCUAAGACCCAGUGAAAGCAAACAUUUGACAAUAUUGGCCCAGGGAAUUAAGAAAAUUGACUCAAAUUCUUAGGUUGAGAAGUAACAGCCAGAGAUU
rnacentral:lncRNA from 1 species